rnacentral:tRNA from 5 species
GCGUGAGUGGCUCAGUGGUAGAGCAUCGCCUUGCCAAGGCGAGGGUCGCGGGUUCGAAUCCCGUCUCGCGCU